GCCUCUGAUGAUGAUUAAACUAGACCUUUUAUCUUCCGAGAUGCUCCAUGCGGAAAAAUUUGGAGACCUGAACUGAAGAGGC